rnacentral:tRNA from 1 species
CAUUAGAUGACUGAAAGUAAGUAUUGGUCUCUUAAACCAAACCAUAGUAAAUUCACAAUUACUUCUAAUGA